UACGAGUGCCCCGAGCGUUAUCCGGAAUCAUUGGGCGUAAAGGGUGUGUAGGUGGUCGUGUUAGUCUUUCGUCAAAACCUCGGGCUCAACCCGAGAUCUGCGAAAGAAACGGCACAGCUGGAGGGUGCGAGGGGUGAAUGGAACUCAUGGAGUAGGGGUGAAAUCCGUUGAUAUCAUGGGGAACACCAGCGGCGAAGGCGGCAAACUGGAUAGGCACUGACACUCAACAACGAAAGCGUGGGGAGCAAACAGG
rnacentral:rRNA from 1 species